rnacentral:rRNA from 1 species
UAGGGAAUCUUCCACAAUGGGCGCAAGCCUGAUGGAGCAACACCGCGUGAGUGAAGAAGGGUUUCGGCUCGUAAAGCCCUGUUGUUAAAGAAGAACACGUAUGAGAGUAACUGUUCAUACGUUGACGGUAUUUAACCAGAAAGUCACGGCUAACUACGCGCCAG